rnacentral:lncRNA from 1 species
UGUGGGGCCCUGCUGUACUCCCCUGCUCCCUGUGCCCACAGGUGCCUAGGCCAUAGGCAGCAGCAUGAGGACCAUAGGGACUCAGCCAGAAACACUGCCUUUUGUUCCCGUUAACUACCCAGGACCCAGAUCCCAGGAGACAGGAGAUUAGCGGGAGUGGUUUCAGCCCAGCCUCUCACCUCCAUGUGUGGCUCACAGCUGCUUUCCGUGUGCUGCUGGGACAUAGAGGGACCAGCGGGGACCUGCACCAGGGCAAGGAGCUUAUUUCUGGCUUGCUCUGAUGGGACACUGAGGUCCAGUGCAGAGAAACUUGGUUAAAGUGGCAAGCUUUAAGAGGAUGGCAAAUCUCAGGAAGCAGGAGCUCAGCCCAGGGCAGGGCAAUGGCAGCAGAUACCCUGAUUCUCCUCUCAGCAGCCCAGACCUGCUUCCAGCAGACACCUGGAAGGGACCCCUUGCCCCCAGUGUUUGUGAGGCUUCUGCCAGGACCUCAGGUCACCUCAGGGUCUGUUUUCCUGCUUUGUCUUC